rnacentral:rRNA from 1 species
CGCGUAGGCGGUUCGGUAAGUCACUUGUGAAAUCCCGGUGCUCAACGCCGGGGCUGCAGGUGAGACUGCCAGACUGGAGCUCGGUAGAGGCGAAUGGAAUUCCCGGUGUAGCGGUGGAAUGCGUAGAUAUCGGGAAGAACACCGGUGGCGAAGGCGGUUCGCUGGGCCGAUGCUGACGCUGAGGCGCGAAAGCGUGGGGAGCAAACAGGAUUAGAUACCCUGGUAGUCCACGCUGUAAACGAUGGGUACUAGGCGUCGGGGGGAGCGACCCCCUCGGUGCCGUCGCUAACGCAGUAAGUACCCCGCCUGGGGAGUACGGCCGCAAGGCUGAA